GAUGAACGCUGGCGGCGUGCCUAAGGCAUGCAAGUCGUGGGACAGGUUUUUUUGUAGCAAUACCGAGAAACACUGACCGGCAAACGGGAGAGUAACACAUUGAUAACUUACCUUUAAGACGAGGAUAGCCCACCGAAAGGUGGAUUAAUACUCGAUAGGCAUGAGGGGGCUUGAGGCCAUUCUCAUGUAAAACUUCGGUGCUUAAAGAGAGGUCUAUGUCUGAUUAGUUAGUUGGUGGGGUAAUGGCCUACCAAGACGAUGAUCAGUACCGGGCGUGAGAGCGUGACCCGGCUCACUGGGACUGAGAUACUGCCCAGACACCUACGGGUGGCUGCAGUCAGGAAUAUUCCGCAAUGCACGAAAGUGUGACGGAGCGACGCCGCGUGCAGGAAGACGCCCCUCGGGGUGUAAACUGCUUUUUCUUAGGGAAGAAUUUUUGACGGUACCUGAGGAAUAAAGAGGUUGCAAACUCUGUGCCAGCAGCAGCGGUAAUACAGAGACCUCAAGCGUUAUCCGGAUUCAUUGGGCGUAAAGCGUCCGCACGUGGUUUCUUAAGUUGGGAGUCAAAUCUUUGGGCUUAACCUAAAGACUGCUCUCAAUACUGGGAAACUUGAGACUGGGAGAGGUAUACGGAACUGUUGGUAUAGUAGUAAAAUGCGUUGAUAUCAACAGGAACACCAAAGGCGAAAGCAGUAUACUGGAACAGUUCUGACACUCAUGGACGAAAGCGUGGGGAGCGAAUGGGAUUAGAUACCCCAGUAGUCCACGCCCUAAACGAUGUGUACUAGGUAUUUGGAGUAUCGACCCUCUAAGUGCCGUUUAAAAAAGCUAACGCGUUAAGUACACCGCCUGGGGACUACGGCCGCAAGGUUAAAACUCAAAGGAAUAGACGGGGACCCGCACAAGCAGAGGAUCAUGUGGUUUAAUUCGAUGGUACGCGGCAAACCUCACCAAGGCUUGACAUGUAGCUGCAAGCUCCUGGAAACAGGAGCCGCCUUCGAGGGUGCUACACAGGUGCUGCAUGGUUGCCGUCAGCUCGUGCCGUGAGGUGUACCCUUAAGUGGGGUAACGAGCGCAACCCUCGUCGUGUGUUAAAUGUACACACGAGACUGCCCGCGCAAGCGGGAGGAAGGUGGGGACGACGUCAAAUCAGCAUGGUUCUUACGUCUUGGGCUACACACAUGAUACAAUGGCCGGUACAAAGGGACGCCAAACCGCGAGGUGGAGCCAAUCCCAAUAAAGCCGGUCUCAGUUCGGAUCGUAGGCUGCAAUUCGUCUACGUGAAGUUGGAUUUGCUAGUAAACGCGCAUCAGCACGGCGCGUUGAAUACGUUCUCGGGUC
rnacentral:rRNA from 1 species